rnacentral:SRP_RNA from 1 species
AUUUAUGCACAACGAAAAACUUGGAACCAGGUCAGGAUAGAAAUAUAGCAGCCUUAACAUUUAAUUUUCGUGUGUGCUUUUUUUAU